AAAUUGAAGAGUUUGAUCAUGGCUCAGAUUGAACGCUGGCGGCAGGCCUAACACAUGCAAGUCGAACGGUAACAGGAAGCAGCUUGCUGCUUUGCUGACGAGUGGCGGACGGGUGAGUAAUGUCUGGGAAACUGCCUGAUGGAGGGGGAUAACUACUGGAAACGGUGGCUAAUACCGCAUAACGUCGCAAGACCAAAGAGGGGGACCUUCGGGCCUCUUGCCAUCAGAUGUGCCCAGAUGGGAUUAGCUUGUUGGUGAGGUAACGGCUCACCAAGGCGACGAUCCCUAGCUGGUCUGAGAGGAUGACCAGCCACACUGGAACUGAGACACGGUCCAGACUCCUACGGGAGGCAGCAGUGGGGAAUAUUGCACAAUGGGCGCAAGCCUGAUGCAGCCAUGCCGCGUGUAUGAAGAAGGCCUUCGGGUUGUAAAGUACUUUCAGCGGGGAGGAAGGUGUUGUGGUUAAUAACCGCAGCAAUUGACGUUACCCGCAGAAGAAGCACCGGCUAACUCCGUGCCAGCAGCCGCGGUAAUACGGAGGGUGCAAGCGUUAAUCGGAAUUACUGGGCGUAAAGCGCACGCAGGCGGUCUGUCAAGUCGGAUGUGAAAUCCCCGGGCUCAACCUGGGAACUGCAUUCGAAACUGGCAGGCUUGAGUCUUGUAGAGGGGGGUAGAAUUCCAGGUGUAGCGGUGAAAUGCGUAGAGAUCUGGAGGAAUACCGGUGGCGAAGGCGGCCCCCUGGACAAAGACUGACGCUCAGGUGCGAAAGCGUGGGGAGCAAACAGGAUUAGAUACCCUGGUAGUCCACGCCGUAAACGAUGUCUACUUGGAGGUUGUGCCCUUGAGGCGUGGCUUCCGGAGCUAACGCGUUAAGUAGACCGCCUGGGGAGUACGGCCGCAAGGUUAAAACUCAAAUGAAUUGACGGGGGCCCGCACAAGCGGUGGAGCAUGUGGUUUAAUUCGAUGCAACGCGAAGAACCUUACCUGGUCUUGACAUCCACAGAAGAAUCCAGAGAUGGAUUUGUGCCUUCGGGAACUGUGAGACAGGUGCUGCAUGGCUGUCGUCAGCUCGUGUUGUGAAAUGUUGGGUUAAGUCCCGCAACG
rnacentral:rRNA from 1 species